UACGUAGGGUGCAAGCGUUGUCCGGAAUUAUUGGGCGUAAAGAGCUCGUAGGCGGUUUGUCACGUCGGAUGUGAAAUCCCGGGGCUUAACCUCGGGUCUGCAUUCGAUACGGGCUGACUAGAGUUCGGUAGGGGAGACUGGAAUUCCUGGUGUAGCGGUGAAAUGCGCAGAUAUCAGGAGGAACACCGGUGGCGAAGGCGGCAUCCUGGACCGGCAUUGACGCUGAGGCGCGAAAGCCAGGGGAGCAAGCGGG
rnacentral:rRNA from 1 species